AUGUUCAUCUUGCUUCUUGAACGCGAUUGCCACUACCCGCUACGUUCAACUCGUUGCUGGUAUAUAUCGCCUUGUACAGGUUCAUCGCAAUGUUUGUCAGUCAUUUCUGUGAACACCAACUGUUCAUACCAAUGUCUCUUCGCACCAAGUAUAAGUUGUUUUCAUUGCCAUCUCCAAACAGUGGUUCUUUUUCAUAUCAGUUUUGGUCUCUUAGACUCUUACUACAACCAACUGGUCUCCUCUAGUCUUUUAGAAUUUAAUGAAGCUCCCCUUUGUCACCACAUUUUACAGGAAGCUAAAAUUUCUCAACUUGGGACAACCUGGUACACUGAAUGUUCCGAAGUGGAUUUGCAAGCUGCGGGGUCCCUUUCCGAGGCAGGACGGCAGGACACCGUUUGCGCCUGA
rnacentral:rRNA from 1 species